GGCCGAUUUUGUGAAUAGGAAAUCCUUUCACAGCAUUAAUGUUCAGAUGGUCUGCAAUGCUGACUGUGUGAUCAGCAAUGUUGUGGCAAAAUGGCCUGGCUCAGUCCAUGACUCCAGAAUCUUUCGGGCCUCUGAAAUCUAUCACAAGGUGAAUUCUCUGGUGUGUUGCUGGGAGACAGGGG